UACGUAGGGGGCUAGCGUUGUCCGGAAUCAUUGGGCGUAAAGCGCUCGUAGGCGGCCCGGUAAGUCCGCUGUAAAAGUCAAAGGCUCAACCUUUGAAUGUCAGUGGAUACUGCCGGGCUAGAGUCCGGAAGAGGCGAGUGGAACUCCUGGUGUAGCGGUGGAAUGCGCAGAUAUCAGGAAGAACACCGACGGCGAAGGCAGCUCGCUGGGACGGUACUGACGCUGAGGCGCGAAAGCGUGGGGAGCGAACAGG
rnacentral:rRNA from 1 species